ensembl:rRNA 5S_rRNA 5S ribosomal RNA
GUCUAUGGCCGUACCACCCCGACUACGCCCCAUCUUGUCUGAUCUCGGAAGCUAAGCGGGGUCGGUCCUGGUUAGUACUUGGAUGGGAGAAUUCCAAAACAGAUCCACGUAUACA